UACGGGGGGGGCAAGCGUUGUUCGGAAUUACUGGGCGUAAAGGGCUCGUAGGCGGCCAACUAAGUCAGACGUGAAAUCCCUCGGCUUAACCGGGGAACUGCGUCUGAUACUGGAUGGCUUGAGUUUGGGAGAGGGACGCGGAAUUCCAGGUGUAGCGGUGAAAUGCGUAGAUAUCUGGAGGAACACCGGUGGCGAAGGCGGCAUCCUGGACCGGUAUUGACGCUGAGGCGCGAAAGCCAGGGGAGCGAACGGG
rnacentral:rRNA from 1 species